GAUUCACGAAAGAAUACCACUGCGCAGAAGGCAUAUUUUAGGUCCCUUUGGAGGUGCGAGUCUUUUCUUCGUGAAUGUACGUGCGCAGACGGCCGCCAUUUGUGGUAUUCUUUCGUGAAUCGUACUGUAC